rnacentral:rRNA from 1 species
GGAAUCUUCCACAAUGGGCGCAAGCCUGAUGGAGCGACGCCGCGUGAGGGAUGAAGGUUUUCGGAUCGUAAACCUCUGAAUCAGGGACGAAAGACCGCGUAGGCGGGGAUGACGGUACCUGAGUAAUAGCACCGGCUAACUCCGUGCCAGCAGCCGCGGUAAUACGGAGGGUGCAAGCGUUACCCGGAAUCACUGGGCGUAAAGGGCGUGUAGGCGGGGCACUAAGUCUGGUUUUAAAGACCGCGGCUCAACCGCGGAAGUGGACUGGAGACUGGUGGCCUGGACCUCUGGAGAGAGAACUGGAAUUCCUGGUGUAGCGGUGGAAUGCGUAGAUACCAGGAGGAACACCGAUGGCGAAGGCAGGUUCUUGGACAGAAGGUGACGCUGAGGCGCGAAAGUGUGGGGAGCGAACC